UACAGAGGUGGCAAGCGUUGUUCGGAAUUACUGGGCGUAAAGGGCGCGUAGGCGGUUCGUCAAGUCCUGUGUGAAAUCCCCCGGCUCAACUGGGGAACUGCACAGGAAACUAGCGGGCUUGAGUUCGGGAGAGGGAAGCGGAAUUCCGGGUGUAGCGGUGAAAUGCGUAGAUAUCCGGAGGAACACCAGGGGCGAAGGCGGCCGACUGGCCGAGUGCUGACGCUGAGGCGCGACGGCGUGGGGAGCAAACCGG
rnacentral:rRNA from 1 species